GCAAACUUGGUCAUUUAGAGGAAGUACAAGUCGUAACAAGGUUUCCGUAGGUGAACCUGCGGAAGGAUCAUUAACAAGUCGUUUGGAGUGUGCGAGUAUUCGUAUACUUUAAUAUUUGUGCUCUGGCGGUAUGCUAGAAUGCACCUAAUAUAUAUAUGUUGUCAUGUGUAAUAAUGUAAGAAUUUACAAUCAAUACAUAACAUACUUUUAACAAUGGAUCUCUUGGCUCUUGCAUCGAUGAAGAACGCAGC
rnacentral:misc_RNA from 1 species